UUUCGUUUCUGCCUCUAAAGGAGA
rnacentral:siRNA from 1 species